rnacentral:lncRNA from 1 species
GCAGAAGAGAUCCUGACUUCUGUCAAAGAGCAAGAAGCCAUCAGGAAGCUCAUGGUUUUCUUGCAUGAAUGGGAUGGUGCCCACAAAGUUGCUCAAAGCUGCAUCCUGGACAGUUUCAUUAAAAGCAAGGCAGAACAAGAGCUGGAGCUGGAGUUCUCCCAGGGAGCCAGCUUGUUCCUGGCUCACCUAACAGCAUGGCUCAGGAUGGCAUAUCUGUUUCCUCAGACAGCUGGAGGUGCUGUGUGGUAGUGAGAUGGAGAAGAGACACGGAGACAUUCAUAUCCAGCCGUGUUCUGCAGGUCUGAAAAACAACCUGGCUAUCUAAAGAUGAAACUGAAGGGAAAGCCAUGUAACCUGUCUCUGAGGAAUGUAGAAUUAGUGUUUUUCUUGCAGUGGGAUGAGCAUGCUGCCUCUGCCUGCCUGUGAGAGGAAGAUCCAUGCUCUCUUGCAAGAGACAGUACCCAGUUCAGACCUCCAUCUGCUGCAGCGAGGCAGGAGGUGAUGGCUCCCAGGAGCACGGCCUGCUGGCAGAGGAAGAUGGGCUCCAAGGCAGGAGAUGCUUCUGGCUUUGUUCCCUCUAUCCUUGAAGCCACAGAUACCUUAAUGAAUUUCUGGAGAUCGGAGGUGCCUCAAUUCCCCUGGAAAUACCGGGGCUGUACCACCUGAAAGAAGAGGACAAAAGGGAGUCUGUAAAGCUGCUGCCACUCACUGCAGAUGCUGAGGUACCAAACCUUGCCAAGUUCUUGGCCUCUUCCAACAAAGCAGAGGGUCAAGAAGACACACAGGUUCUGCUGGACUCUUCAGGCCAUGGCAGUCCCAAGUACCAGAACCAGGUCUGCCUUGUACCUGUGCUGCUCUGUACCUCUCCACAGGCCCAGCAGGGGCUCUGCCGAUGCUCAGGGUCGUGCAGGCCCAUCCUGAAACCUGGCACACAAAAAUGGAUCCAGUCCAGACUGAAUAACUGGCCUCCCCUCUAGUCAGCAUCCCCAGAGACAUGGCAAGGACGCAGUCCACAGAAGGUGAGUGCAGAGCUGGAUGCACUGUCACUGAAAUUACACCCUUAACUUUCAGAGGGAGAAGACAGCUCAAAGAAGGAAUAGUAGUAGAAGGCUCCCCUUGUGAUCUGAUGCUUGCAUAGCUGCAUCCAAUGUUGCUGAACCUAGAGCCUACAGGCCUGUUUUGUUCUUUUCAAGACAACCCCUGGCCUGAGUUGAACAAAUAGAAAAGA